rnacentral:rRNA from 1 species
GAAACCGUUCAGGGGUAAACCUGUGAAACCCAAAAGAUCGAAUGAGGAGAUUCAUCGUCAGCGUAUUCAGUAUUAAUGCAGGCUAUGAUGUGAUAAUAGAAUCCUCGUGGUCACUAGAUUAUACUUGCUUGUAUUAUUUUUGCUGGGUAUGUCGGCGUGCACUUCUCCUCUAGUAGAACGUCGCAACCCGUUGGAUGUUUAUCUAUGGCCUGAUUGGUAGCCUUUGAUAUUUUAUUGUAUCGAAGACCUUUUGGUGUCCUGAUAAACUGUCUGACGGUAUACAUAUAGUAUUGAGCCGCAAUUUUAUUUGCGUUAGACUUGCCGCAAGUAAGGCUUUAUUCUGGUAGUGCGGAUCUAAUGCCGUCGCUGGACAAAGUCUGCUGUUAGCUGUGUAAUGUCUUUAACUGGCUUAUUUACUGGUUAGCGAUGCUACUGCUUUGGGUACUUACAAGA